GUAGGUGGCAAGCGUUGUCCGGAAUUAUUGGGGCGUAAAGCGCGCGCAGGUGGUUCUUUAAGUCUGAUGUGAAAGCCCCCGGGCUCAACCGGGGGAGGGUCAUUGGAAACUGGGGAACUUGAGUGCAGGAGAGGAAAGUGGAAUUCCACGUGUAGCGGUGAAAUGCGUAGAUAUGUGGAGGAACACCAGUGGCGAAGGCGACUUUCUGGCCUGUAACUGACACUGAGGCGCGAAAGCGUGGGGAGCAAACAGGAUUAGAUACCCUGGUAGUCCACGCCGUAAACGAUGAGUGCUAAGUGCUGGGGGGUUUCCGCCCCUCAGUGCUGCAGCUAACGCAUUAAGCACUCCGCCUGGGGAGUACGGCCGCAAAGACUG
rnacentral:rRNA from 1 species